CGCUUGACUGACAGCCGCCCGCCCCAACCCGCUCCAUCACCCGGCCGCGCCCACCACGGAGACCCGGGCGAACUGACGACUCAGCCACCUGUCAGCCUCAAGUCCAGGAGGAAAUUCUGGGAAAGCUGUUUCACCGCUCGCAGUCCGAACAACUUAAUGAUCUCCCGAAUGGUGGGCAACGGGGGAAGGCGGAAAGUGCCGAGCUUCCCCGAGGCAGCCAUGAGAGACCCACAUACACAGCCACGCGCAGCGGCUGGAAAGGUGCACGGCGCGCAGGGGGUGGGACCUUGGAGAAGACUGCCCGCCUCUGAGGCCACCUGGUUGGAUGGAGAAACCUGCCGGAAAUGACGAAACUGACAGGAAGUCUGUAUGUACUGGGAGCUCAGGACGCGUCAGGCCGAAAGCGGUGCAGGUGUAGUCUUGCGAAACAGGACACAUAUUGCUAACUUCCGAUUAAAACAGGAUCAAGAAAGCCCUGCGAGGCCACGAAUUUCGUAAAGCUGGAAGUUCACAGAUUCCAGCUGUAGUCUAGUGCAUGCGCGGUGGCUGCUGUUUUUAAGCAAUGCCAGCAAGGGAAGAAAUACCAGCAAGUACAGUCAUUCAACCUACCCAGGGUCACCAGCAAUGCAUCUAGAGAAGAUACCCCGAGUUCUUCACGUUUCAAGUUCCAAGUUCAGUAGCCAAGCUUCUCAAAUACUGUAUCAACUGAAAUUAUUUUAAGUUAAUUAACAUGUUCAUUUUGUGUUAUUUAAAUGUAUAGAAAUAUGAAAUUAGGUGUAGACUUAGAUCUACAGUUUUCAUAUGACUACUAAAAUCACACAAUAAAAAUAUGCAAACCCACCAAACCAACACAC
rnacentral:lncRNA from 1 species